rnacentral:rRNA from 1 species
UACGUAGGGACCGAGCGUUGUCCGGAAUCAUUGGGCGUAAAGAGCGUGUAGGCGGCUAUUUAAGUCCUGCGUGAAAUCCUGCGGCUCAACCGCAGACGGUCGUGGGAAACUGGAUGGCUAGAGUGCGGGAGAGGAGAGUGGAAUUCCCGGUGUAGCGGUGAAAUGCGCAGAUAUCGGGAAGAACACCCGUGGCGAAGGCGGCUUUCUGGACCGCAACUGACGCUGAGACGCGAAAGCGUGGGGAGCAAACAGG